GCACUAAAGUGCACUGCAAUAAACCGAGCAGAGUAAAUGAGCACCAGUGUUUCUGGUCGCCGAUGUUGAAGUCAAGGCAGGAACAGAGGAGGAUCACAGUGAUUUUUACCAAAACGAUUGACAGGUCAUCAGUCAAACGGCCGUGUGACAACCAACUCUCCCUCUGUGUAAAAGACAAGGCGCUCAAUGUAGCGAGGAGGCCUCAAAUUCAAACUGCGACCUUUGCUGGUGAAGGUGGAAUGAUCUCGGGGGCGGACGGGCCUGCGGGCUGCGCCACCGACGGCUGAGGGGUCUGCGCCUGUCAAAGGUCGUCUUGUGGUCUUCAGCUGUGAUGGAUCGUUGGUUCCUCCCAACAGACGGAUCUUUCUGCGGCGGCAGCAGCAGCUCCGGCCUGCGGGGUCACAACAGGAAAGCCCCUGCAGGCUCUCAGUCACUCACGGCAUGCGGCUGGACGUUAUCUGUCUCUGGAUCUCCUCCUCCGCUUCCCCUCCAUUGAACACCGAGUUGCACGGCACGUCCAUUCCCAGCGCGUCCAAAGUCGAAACAGACCUGAUCUGGAAUAAUUCGGAAUGUUCGAUGCAGUUAAUGGACGUAAACUGUUGCCAAGUAAAACAAAAAUGUUCAGAGACGGGUUGAUAAGUUUUAGUCAUUCACUCACAAAGGAAUCAAAGUCUUUUACUUUGAACGCAGGUCACGCAGAUGUUGGAUUAACUCAUCUCCCUUUUUUCUCACAAUCAAGCUCCCCUCUUGCUUCCGUCUGUGCUCGCGUGAGGCUUCCUGGUGGAUGUUUGUAUUUGUCAACCCUCGGCUCAUUACCCGUGCAGGCAGCUGUUAGAGGGCGGCUCCUUCACUUGAGAUCUUCAUUGACAUCGAGCAUGUGCCGAUAACAGCCAGGUCGCCCUCCUCCACCGAUAAUAGACAAAAGGUACUCGCAGGCAUUUUCUGUUAUUAUAUAUAUAUAACAAUCGUAUUAGACUAUUGCCACAAGCGAAAAUAAAAUGGCUGUUUCAUGCACAUCACCAUGGAGGGCGAUUGCUCGUCGUCACACACAUCACAAGAGUCGUAUGAUAUCUAACUCAGUUGCUGCCCAUUUUUUAAUGCACUUUUCUCCCAAAACUGGAAAGGUGUCAAUAUGCGAUUUUAAAAGAUUACAUAAAACAUAAAAUGGUGUUUGCUUGAGUUGGGAAGCACUAAACUUCAACACAUGAGCUUCCUUAUUCUCCUUUUUGAUGUCAGUUGCCGGUCGGGAUCAGAAUCAUCACUCUCUCGACACAACAUGCAGCACAUGUUGUAGAGAUUCUUUCAAGCCAAGCUUUCCUUAUUACAAAUAAUUCAAAUCUGGUUUCAGACAUGCAUUAUAAAUGUUGCCUUUUCCCAUCUUUCCUUUACAAACCAAGCUAAAGAAUAAUUGAUUACACGGCACAAGCAAGGACACAUUCUUCCUCGUGUCUUGUGCUUUUUGCUGGUUGGAUCGGAGGGACCUUAGGCUAUCUCCUCUUAACAAAGGGAACUUGUUCCGUGAGAGGCACAAUUAAAGAGUGGGAGGCAGGAAGAUUACACACAAGCUUUAUGGGCACCUCCAAAAUGACUCAAGAGCCGACUAUUCAACAGCUGGUAAAAUGAUCCAUAGUCACGAAACACGCAGAGCCAAUCUUCUCCCUGUAACGCGCACGCUCCUCUUCCUCCUCCUGCCAGACGUUACCGCCACGGGGGUCACGCAAAGUCAAAGGGAGAUGGAAAGCGGUUCUGACGGCGGGGCCGAAGUGAACUAAGGCGUUCAGUCUGGCGGCUGUCGGAAGAGAUGAAGCCACAGCGGCCUUCCAACGUCAGCAACACAGCGCACAGUAGAUCAGUAAUAACUUUAACACAUGACGACGCACCACUUUCCAUCACGUACGCAACUUCAAAGGGGGGAAAUAUGGUAUUUAUUGAUGGGCCCAUAAUUCAGUCCUCCUCCAACGCCGGUCAAAUUUCAGUGGACGAGGCAGGGAGAAUGGGAACCAGAUGAUAUGAGGCCGGGGCCCCAAACCCGGGCUUUCAAUUUAGGCCGGCAGGUUGUCGGGUCGAAUCCUGAUGGGGGGAAGAGACCCCCCCCCUUCACCCCCCGGACCAUGGGGCAGAGAGAAAAACAACCUCUAGACCUGUCUGAUGUAUCCACACAUCACAUGAGCUCAAGAAAACCUUCCUCAUGUUCUGAGUAUUUUAAUUGUCAUACAACAUUGUUUUUGUUUUUCAUAACAUUUUCAGGUUUUAGGCUGAUUUUUGAUUACUCGUGUGAAUCGAAUACUAAAUAAUUACAUUUUCUCAUUUAAUUUUAUUAAAAUAAUAGUUAACAGGUAAGCUAUUGCUAUUAGCUAGAUAUCUAAAGUUAGUUUUUUGGCUUCAUACCCAUAAUAAAAAGUAUUAACUCUGGAACGACUUUGUCUAUUUGUACAAUGUGUGUUUGUGGGGGUAAAGGGGAACCCUAAGUGCAAUAAUCUGUAACAAUUAGUUAAUAUGUUACUAAAAUAUAUCAAUAUUAACGUAUUGGUUCUGACCUGGUUCUGGCUUGUUUGUUUCCAAAGAGUUAAAUAAUAACGGCUACUUUAAACCAACUAUUUCAGCUGACUGUUUACACCAUGUCCCCGUUACUGUUUCCCCUUCUAGGUUCACUUGCUCACUCGCGUUCAUGUUUAAGAUUGGAUUCCUAUCUCUGUCUCUACCACUCCAACAAGCAUAACGGGUGAUUAUUCUUUAGCUUUGUUAAACUGAUUUUAACCCCCUUCUGUGGUGCAGCACGCGCUUUCUGUCCCACCGGCUCUUUCAUACAGGAAACAUACAGCCUCUACACGGGACACUGUGCGAGCCGUCCGUCCCAUCCUGCUCUGCUCACGCCGAAGGGAUUUCCACAAAGCAAACAGUGGUUAGCUUCGCACUUAGUGUGGAGAGCCGCUGCAACCAACAAGUUCACUUCCAGAGAGAAGCUCGGUCUGUAGCUGCAGGAAUGAAUAGUUCGCUGGCAGAGAUCCAAGCUGGAUGUGGUUUGACUCUGAGCUGUAGCGUUUGCUCCUGCAGGGGAGGGGAUGAGAAGGGGGAAGGAGAGAGAGAGAGGGGGGGGGGGGGGGCUAUCAGUUAACGUGGUUGGAGCCAUGCAAUCUGAGAUCCUCUGUGAUUCCUCUGCUAUGCCUGAACGCUUGACUGGUAUUCAUGUUCUCCUGCAACAAUCACCAUGCAGAUGGGCCGGUUCCGCGCGCGCCGUACAAGUUACAUUUGCUUCUGUGACUGUUUACAUGCAGCUGUUUGCGAUGUACUUUGCAUUGCUGAGCCCUCUGCUUUCAUACUUUUCCCACACAGAAGAUGACGUGAUGUCACGCCUGCAAAUUUACAGGGCGGUUGUGAUUUUGAUAGAAGAGCAGCCUCAAACAUCUGCAUGGAGUAGUGGCUUUCUCCUUCGUAGUUUAUGUAUAGGCACACUAUUUUUAGUGAUGCUCACCAAACAUACAGUUAGAACACCAUUGUUAAACACAACGUACCAUGUCCACCCACUAUUUGAGUGACGGACAGAGAGACCGCCAUGCUCAUCAACUCAUUCCAAACUAUAUAGUGGGUGAAUGUCGAUCCUUGAACUGAACAAAUGGAAAAAAGUUAUGUUUAAAGAUGAUUUAAUGAAUGCACCUUUAUAUUAUGUGUGUCUAACAGUGUAUGAUGGGCCUAACCCUUAAGACUGCUGUAAUGAAACGCAUCAAUACAAUAGUGUUUGGCCCUCAGUCUUGGUUUUUGGGGAAACAAAAGUGACACAAAGGGGGGGAGCUACAACCGAUCAAUAAAUAAGACCCAAAAAUGACAAGCUGAAUCUUCAUGUUCUUUUUUUAUUGUAAAUGGGUCAUCAUUUAGUAAAUGAACAUCCUGCUGUAUUGACAGCAAACCCGGAAAACCCGGAACUAGAGAUCAAGACCAUAAACUCUUCCACAAUGUUUCAUGACAAUUGGCUUCUAUCAGUAAACCAAAUCUGGACAUCAACUGGAAGACAUUUUGUUUCCUUGGUAUUGUUAUGCAAUAAAAUGUGUUGGAAACUUCACACGUUGAUGUCAUGCACAGUAUUUCAUUUGAACUAAAAUAAUAACUGUUUGUAUAUCACAAAAUAUCUGGGAUUUACCUCAUGGUGACAAUCCUUGAGCCGUGGAGCUGAAUAUUUUUCCCUUCAAGCACAUUGCUCAUUAGAGGGCAGGGGGGGGGGACAAACCCCCCCUGAACACUCACCAGAACAAAUGUCAGUGUCUGCUGUGUGAAACAGUCCUCUUUGUGUUUCCUCGAUCCCUCGUUACACGAAUCAAUAUGCACGCACACAUUGCCGCUCAAUGUGCAGCUCAGCCAUCUGUCUCUCCGCAGUGGGUCCUUGUUACCUGUUGUACUCUUUCUUACCCUCCGCAUUCACCAGUCGCAUCCCAGUGCCAGCAGUCCCUUUCACCGUCCCGUCCAGGGAGGGGUUCUCACAGAAAGGGGGAUCCAAGUGCCUCGGGGGGGACCUUACAGGGCUGCUUGUUAUUACAGGUUAUUCCUCUCAUUCCUGUAACGAUUUGAUAUGAAAUGAAAUAGAUGGGAUUCUUUAAAUGUAAGCCACAUCACUGCCAGAGCCUGUGGAUUAAGAGCGAUGGGAGACAGAUGCUUCUCCUUAGAGCCUUGGAG
ensembl:lncRNA